rnacentral:rRNA from 1 species
GUGGGGAAUAUUGCACAAUGGGCGAAAGCCUGAUGCAGCAACGCCGCGUGAGCGAUGAAGGCCUUUGGGUCGUAAAGCUCUGUCCUUGGGGAAGAAACAAAUGACGGUACCCUUGGAGGAAGCCCCGGCUAACUACGUGCCAGCAGCCGCGGUAAUACGUAGGGGGCGAGCGUUAUCCGGAAUUAUUGGGCGUAAAGAGUGCGUAGGUGGUUUGAUAAGCGUGGGGUGAAAGGCAAUAGCUUAACUAUUGUAAGCCUUGCGAACUGUCAGACUUGAGUGCAGGAGAGGAAAGUGGAAUUCCUAGUGUAGCGGUGAAAUGCGUAGAUAUUAGGAGGAACACCAGUGGCGAAGGCGACUUUCUGGACUGUAACUGACACUGAGGCACGAAAGCGUGGGGAGCAAACAGGAUUAGAAACCCGAGUAGUCC